rnacentral:rRNA from 1 species
UUUCCGGUUGAUCCUGCCGGACCCGACUGCUAUUUGGGUGAGAAUAAGCCAUGCAAGUCGAAUGGGAUACCUAAGAUUCCCAUGGCAAACUGCUCAGUAACACAUGAUCAACUUACCCUAUAGAGAAAAAUAACCUCGGGAAACUGAGGAUAAUAUUUCAUAGUUGAAUCGGCUUGGAAAAGUUUUUCAAUCAAAGGGAUAAGAAAAAUGGUUCUUAUCUGCUAUAGGUUAGGAUCGUGGACGAUUAUGGUUGUUGGUGAGGUAAUGGCUCACCAAGCCGAUAAUCGAUAGGGGCCGUGAGAGCGGGAGCCCCGAGAUGGGUACUGAGACAACGACCCAGGCCUUACGAGGCGCAGCAGGCGCGGAACCUCCGCAAUACACGGAAGUGUGACGGGGUUACCCAAAGUGUUCAAUUUUGAACUGUGGUGGGUGAGUAAUGUUCCCCACUAGAAAGGAGAGGGCAAGGCUGGUGCCAGCCGCCGCGGUAAAACCAGCUCUUCAAGUGGUCGGGAUAAUUAUUGGGCUUAAAGUGUCCGUAGCCGGUUUAGUUAGUUCCUGGUAAAAUCGGGUAGCUUAACUAUCCGUAUGCUAGGAAUACUGCUAUACUAGAGGACGGGAGAGGUCUGAGGUACUACAGGGGUAGGGGUGAAAUCUUAUAAUCCUUGUAGGACCACCAGUGGCGAAGGCGUCAGACUGGAACGUGCCUGACGGUGAAGGACGAAAGCCAGGGGAGCGAACCGGAUUAGAUACCCGGGUAGUCCUGGCCGUAAACGAUGCAUACUAGGUGAUGGCACGGCCAUGAGCCGUGUCAGUGCCGUAGGGAAACCGUUAAGUGUGCCGCCUGGGAAGUACGGUCGCAAGGCUAAAACUUAAAGGAAUUGGCGGGGGAGCACCACAAGGGGUGAAGCCUGCGGUUCAAUUGGAUUCAACGCCGGAAA